UUACUGCUUUAAACCGUCUUCCGUCUAUAAAAAACAUUAUAUUACAGGACAACAAACACUUUAACUCAGUUAAACAUUCACUUUGUUAUAAAAUAAGUAGUUUUUAGGAACGAAUUCACAACUUAAUUUAUAUUGUUUAGAUUGUAUAACUUUAGUUUUAUAGCUUUACGUCGAUUUUCUGUGCGUUGAUUAAAGUUCUUUUUCCUCAUACAAUUACCCAAUCAUCACGCAGCAGGCCGAUAUUUCUGGCCAAUCCUGUUGCAGGAGGCGGGCACUAUGCAAAAUUUUCUCUGAAAUUCAAUGUUCAUUUCGCUGUUUCCCAGGAAUAUUAAAGUGCAUUAUGGGUAUUCUGUAAUUCUGGAGCUUAUCGCACACACGAUCAGUGGAGAAUGUUCUAGCACACUCAAUAUUUAACUCAGAAUAUUUAACACUGAAUUUAACUCUAAAUAUUUAACUCGGUGCUUUCUGAUACGUCUCGUGCUACGCAUUGAGGAAAGGUGCAUCUACUUCUUCAACCUCUACUUCUUUCUAAAUGAAAGUAAGUGAUGGAGGUGUGGUGUGAGGAGAGGUGUAGUGAGGAGUGAGGUGUGGUGAGGGGUAUGGUUUGAGGAGAGGUGUAGUGAGAGGUGUGGUGAGGGGUAUGGUGUGAGGAGAGGUGUGGUGAGGGGUAUGGUGUGAGGAGAGGUGUAGUGAGGGGUGAGGUGUAGUGAGAGAUGUAGUGAGUGGAGAGGUGUGGUGAGCGGUAUGGUGUGAGGAGAGGUGUGGUGAGUGGUGAGGUGAGAGGUGUGGUGAGGGGUAUGGUGUGAGGAGAGGUGUGGUGAGGGGUAUGGUGUGAGGAGAGGUGUAGUGAGGGGUGAGGUGUAGUGAGAGAUGUAGUGAGUGGAGAGGUGUGGUGAGCGGUAUGGUGUGAGGAGAGGUGUGGUGAGUGGUGAGGUGAGAGGUGUGGUGAGGGGUAUGGUGUGAGGAGAGGUGUGGUGAGGGGUAUGGUGUGAGGAGAGGUGUAGUGAGGGGUGAGGUGUAGUGAGAGAUGUAGUGAGUGGAGAGGUGUGGUGAGCGGUAUGGUGUGAGGAGAGGUGUGGUGAGGGGUAUGGUGUGAGGGGUGAGGUGUAGUGAGAGGUGGGAGGGGUAUGGUGAGAGGAGGUGUAGUGAGAGCGGUGAGGUAUAGUGAGAGGUGUGGUGAGGGGUAUGGUGUGAGGAGAGGUGUGGUGAGGGGUAUGGUGUGAGGAGAGGUGUAGUGAGGGGUGACAGGUGAGGUGUAGUGAGAGAUGGUAUGAGGUGAGGUGUGGUGAGGGGUAUGGUGUGAGGAGAGGUGUGGUGAGGUGUAGUGAGAGGUGUGGUGAGGGGUAUGGUGUGAGGAGAGGUGUAGUGAGAGGCGUGGUGAGGGGUAUGGUGUGAGGAGAGGUGUGGUGAGGGGUAUGGUGUCAGGAGAGGUGUGGUGAGGGGUAUGGUGUCAGGAGGUGUAGUGAGAGGGGUGAGGUAUAGUGAGAGGUGUGGUGAGGGGUAUGGUGUGAGGAGAGGUGUAGUGAGGGGUAUGGUGUGAGGAGAGGUGUGGUGAGGGGUAUGGUGUGAGGAGAGGUGUGGUGAGGGGUAUGGUGUGAGGAGAGGUGUAGUGAGAGGCGUGGUGAGGGGUAUGGUGUGAGGAGAGGUGUAGUGAGGGGUAUGGUGUGAGGAGAGGUGUAGUGAGGGGUAUGGUGUGAGGAGAGGUGUAGUGAGGGGUGUGGUGUGAGGAGAGGUGUAGUGAGAGGUGUGGUGAGGAGAGGUGUGGUGAGGGGUGAGGUGUAGUGAGAGGUGUGGUGAGGUGUAGUGAGAGGUGUGGUGAGGAGAGGUGUGGUGAGGGGUGAGGUGUAGUGAGAGGUGUGGUGUGAGGAGAGGUGUAGUGAGGGGUGAGGUGAGAGGUGUGAGGAGAGGUGUAGUGAGCGGAGAGGUGAAGUGAGAGGUGUGGUGAGGGGUAGGGUGUGAGGAGAGGUCUAGUGAGGGGUGAGGUGUAGAGGUGUGGUGUGAGGAGAGGUAUAGUGAGGGGUGAGAUGUAGUGAGGUGAAGGUGAAGUGAGGGGUAUGGUGAGGGGUGUGGUUUGAGGAGAGGUGUGGUGAGUGGUGAGGUGUAGUGAGAGGUGAGGUGAGAGGUGUAGCUGGAGCUCUUUUAUUAAAGUGGAAAUGCUGGCUGGUUUAUGUGGAAACUGGGUUCCUAGAACUUUGCUUAUUUUUGAACAUGCUUAUCAAACACCAGCAUGCACUUUCACUCACACCUACAAACCACAUGCACACACGCACGCGCGCGCACACACACACACUGCAGCAGAUAGUUCAGUGCAUUCAAUAAGAUUAACGUGUGCAUGUAAAUGGCCACAUUAGUGAAGGUGAAAAUAAAACACAUGUAUUUGAAAAAAAGCACACAACUGUGUAUACAUCACUAGAGAGAGACAGGGUGUGAGAGAGGGGGAGGGAGGGAGUGAGAGAGACAGAGUGGGUGUGGUGUGUGUGUGUGUUUAACAGCUGUCAGGGGGAUUGGGUGCAGGGGAACGAGGUUACAGAUCUUGGAAGAAUGAUGUUCCUUAGCCUGUUAGUCCAUGUAUAGAUAGUCCUGUAGCUGGAUGGCUCCGGUCUCAGACAUUGCUGCAAGAUUUCCAUUCCUACACAGGUAGUGUAGUGUAGUCUAAAGAGCUAUGUCCCUGUGAGAACCAGUGCAGUUGGGGAGUACUGUAUACUCUUUGUGCAAUUGAGUUAAACGCUUGGCAAGAGAGGUGGAGGUAGGUGGGCUCUAUGCACUUGGUUGUGUUGAGAGACCAUGUCAGAUCUUUUGUGAUUUGGAUGCCCCAGAACUUGAAGCUUUCCAGCAACGGUUUGAUGAUGAUUAUUUGGUAAUUGUUGGGG